UGGGGAAUAUUGCACAAUGGGGAAAGACCCUGAUGCAGCGACGCCGCGUGAGUGAAGAAGUAUUUCGGUAUGUAAAGCUCUAUCAGCAGGGAAGAAGAAAGACGGUACCUGACUAAGAAGCCCGGCUAACUACGUGCCAGCAGCCGCGGUAAUACGUAGGGGCGAAGCGUUAUCCGGAUUUACUGGGUGUAAAGGGAGCGUAGACGGCGGAGCAAGUCUGAAGUGAAAGCCCGGCGUAAUCCAGGCAGCAUGCUUUGGAAUGACUGUACUGCUGGAGUGCUGGAGAGGUAAGCGGAAUUCCUAGUGUAGCGGUGAAAUGCGUAGAUAUUAGGAGGAACACCAGUGGCGAAGGCGGCUUACUGGACAGUCACUGACGUUGAGGCUCGAAAGCGUGGGGAGCAAACAGGAUUAGAUACC
rnacentral:rRNA from 1 species